UAAUCUUUAGCAUGACCGCGAUAGAUGUAUGUAAUAAAUCAAAAGUGCUCGUUCAAUCAUUUAGAAUUGUCGGGAUAAUUGUUUAACAGUUUAACAGAGACAUUUGCCUACAAAUUUCUAGAAGUGCCGUUACAUUAGGAGCGUGAAGACGCUACAUUGUAGUCUCCUACUCUUCUAACCUAUUUGAAAUAAUGACGGUAACAAAAACGAGGCAAAUUUUAAUGGCUGCCGUUCGCGCCGACCAACCCGAGCGCGAUCUAUCGAUGCGACCCAAGAUGGCCGACGUCGUGCUGGUUCGAGACAAUCGAGACUUCGAGUUCGAGCGAGACGCUUGUUGCUCGUUCAGCUCGUUGUUGACGGCUCCAACUGGAUCCGAGGUGAACGUUAAAGAGACACGAGUGACAUUUUCUUCGGGCAGAAGGAUCGCUUCGUAAUUUCGCGAUCGCGAUGACGCGGCACGCGAGGAAUUGUACCGCGGGCGCGGUGUACACGUAUCACGAGAAGAAGAAGGACGCCGCGGCGUCAGGUUAUGGCACCAACACUCAACGAGUGGGCAAGGACUCCGUCAAGGAUUUCGACUGCUGUUGCCUGACUCUGCAACCCUGCAGGAAUCCAGUGAUCACGAAAGACGGCUAUCUGUUCGACAAAGAGGCGAUAUUGGAGUACAUCCUGACCAAAAAGAGGGAAUACGCGAGAAAGCUGAAGGAAUACGAGAAGCAGAAGCAGAAGGAAGAGGAACAGUCGCAGGAACAGACGGCCAAUGAAGAGCUGAAGAAGUUGCAGAAUUUUUUGAAGGGUGAAAAAAUCAUCAUGUCGAGCGGGCCUAGUACGACGGACGGAGGAGAGUCGGUCUCCAACAUGAAGAACGGCAAGGACAAGGUGCUGCCGAGCUUCUGGAUACCCUCGAAGACCCCGGGGGUGAAGGAACUCACCUUACAGAAGCCGGACAAGACCAUUUAUUGCCCUGUCAGUGGAAAGCCGUUGAAAGUGAAGGAUCUGAUUCCGAUAAAAUUCACGGUGGUUCAGGACCCGGACGACAAGAGAUCGCUUAUUGUCAAACAGGCGCGAUACAUGUGCCCCAUUACGCACGACGUUUUGGGCAACAACGUUCCGUGUGCCGUGAUAAGAACCACCGGCGACGUGGUCACGAUGGAGUGUGUAGAAAAGUUAAUAAAGAAGGAUUGGAUCAACCCUCUAGAUAAUUCCAAAUUGACCCCGUCUGAUAUCAUCCCUCUACAGAGGGGUGGCACUGGUUAUGCAUCUGUUAACGAUUCGUUGGAGGGCAAGCACGAAAGGCCGGUGUUGCAGGCGUGAAGGAUACUUCUCAUCGCUCCGUAUCGCUGUAUAUAGAUGUUUUUUAACCUAAGAAGAUACCCCGGUACUAUGAGGCCGCACGAAUGGAUGCGUGACACAUCCCGAAGCAGAUUCGAAGGCAUCGGUACGUUCCAGCCAAAUGAAUGGACGCAUGGAAGGACUCGAUACGAAUCUAAAGAAGUUCGUGCCCCACGGUUUAUUUCGGCGAGAUAGGCACGGGUUCUGGGGUGGGAGAGCUAACCACCGCCUCGGCGGGGGGUGGUGGC